GAUGAACGCUGCGGCGUGCCUAAUACAUGCAAGUCGAGCGAACAGACGAGGAGCUUGCUCCUCUGACGUUGGCGGCGGACGGGUGAGUAACACGUGGAUAACCUACCUAUAAGACUGGGAUAACUUCGGGAAACCGGAGCUAAUACCGGAUAAUAUAUUGAACCGCUUGGUUCAAUAGUGAAAGACGGUUUUGCUGUCACUUAUAGAUGGAUCCGCGCCGCAUUAGCUAGUUGGUAAGGUAACGGCUUACCAAGGCAACGAUGCGUAGCCGACCUGAGAGGGUGAUCGGCAACACUGGAACUGGGACACGGUCCAGACUCCUACGGGAGGCAGCAGUAGGGAAUCUUCCGCAAUGGGCGAAAGCCUGACGGAGCAACGCCGCGUGAGUGAUGAAGGUCUUCGGAUCGUAAAACUCUGUUAUUAGGGAAGAACAAAUGUGUAAGUAACUAUGCACGUCUUGACGGUACCUAAGCAGAAAGCCACGGCUAACUACGUG
rnacentral:rRNA from 1 species